rnacentral:tRNA from 2 species
AGGUCAGUAGCUCAAUUGGCAGAGCACCGCUCUCCAAAAGCGGGGGCUGAGGGUUCGAGUCCUUCCUGACCUG